AGCUAUGCGCAGUGGCAGUAUCAUAGACAAUGAGGUUUAACAGAGGCGGGUUUAUUGCUAAUUGAAAACUUUUCCCAAUACCCUGCCAGGACAACUUGAAAUAUAGUUGGCAUUGGCAAUUUUUGGCGUGUCUAUGGGGAC
rnacentral:snRNA from 1 species